rnacentral:rRNA from 1 species
UACGUAGGGUGCGAGCGUUAAUCGGAAUUACUGGGCGUAAAGCGUGCGCAGGCGGUUUUGUAAGCCAGAUGUGAAAGCCCCGGGCUCAACCUGGGAAUGGCAUUUGGGACUGCAAGGCUUGAGUUUGGCAGAGGAGACUGGAAUUCCUGGUGUAGCAGUGAAAUGCGUAGAUAUCAGGAGGAAUACCGAUGGCGAAGGCAGGUCUCUGGGCUAUAACUGACGCUCAUGCACGAAAGCGUGGGGAGCAAACAGG